GUCAACAUUAAAAUUGUAUCAAUAUUACUUCAAUCAAGCUUGAAUUUUAAACAUUAAAUUCGUCUAUCCACGUUUUGUUACGCUUCGUUGGCCGUAAGGUAAUGUAUAUUUUAGUUUCAACUAUGUAAAGUAUAUAAAUGGGCCGAUUUUCAAUCAUUUUCGACACACAGCUAUGAUGCUUGGCCGGUGCUUAUUAUUCCUAGCCCUAACCGCCAUCGCCGCGUCUGCCCCCGCGGAGUCGGGCUGGCGCUGCACCGGCGGCCUCGGCUCGCCCACCGUCUGCAUCGGCCCGGCUGGUGCGCCCCGCUACAGCCCACCGGCCAUCCAGAUCUUACCGCCUUUACCCCCGUGCUCUGGGCCGGCGGUCGUGCUUACCCCGCCUCCCAGUCCUUGUCCGCAACCGUGCCCGCAACCGUGCCCACAACCGUACCCGUCGCCGUGCCCGCAACCGUUUCCAUCGCAUUGUCAAUAUUAUAACUAAACGACGAUCAUUAAAUACGGCUUUAGUAGUCGAAAUUCUUCGCAAAUAUUCACUAAUUUUCUUGUAAGUUUGCGAAGUUAAAUAAUAUAAACGACAUUUUCUAA